UACAAAGGUAAGUGGUGAACUGCCAGAGGUAAAUAAAAAAAGGUAAGCUUAUCCAAAACUGAAAAAUAAUGUACAUUUCAGAAUUAUACAAGUAGGCCUUUUUCAGGGAACAAGAAAUGGGUUAACAACUUAACUCUAUGGAGUCUUGGGCUAUUUUGUCCAUUUUUGAAUUCUUUUCAUGUCUUUGUAAGUCAUUUUGUGUCUUUUUUUAGUCAUUUUGUGUCUUUUUUGUCAUUUUGUGUCUUUUGGUGUCUUUUGUCAUUUUG